rnacentral:rRNA from 1 species
UAACGCGAAGAACCUUACCAAGGCUUGACAUACACCGAAAACUCGUAGAGAUACGGGGUCCGCAAGGGCGGUGUACAGGUGGUGCAUGGUUGUCGUCAGCUCGUGUCGUGAGAUGUUGGGUUAAGUCCCGCAACGAGCGCAACCCUCGUUCUAUGUUGCCAGCACAUCAUGGUGGGGACUCAUAGGAGACUGCCGGGGUCAACUCGGAGGAAGGUGGGGACGACGUCAAAUCAUCAUGCCCCUUAUGUCCAGGGCUUCACGCAUGCUACAAUGGCCGGUACAAAGGGCUGCGAUACCGUGAGGUGGAGCUAAUCCCAAAAAGCCGGUCUCAGUUCGGAUUGGGGUCUGCAACUCGACCCCAUGAAGUCGGAGUCGCUAGUAAUCGCAGAUCAGCAACGCUGCGGUGAAUACGUUCCCGGGUCUUGUACACACCGA